GUCCACGCCGUAAACGAUGGGCACUAGGCGUCGGGGGGAGCGACCCCCUCGGUGCCGUCGCUAACGCAGUAAGUGCCCCGCCUGGGGAGUACGGUCGCAAGACUGAAACUCAAAGGAAUUGACGGGGGCCCGCACAAGCGGUGGAGCAUGUGGUUUAAUUCGAAGCAACGCGAAGAACCUUACCUGGGCUUGACAUGCUGGUGAAAGGUCGUGGAAACACGAUCCCCUCUUCGGAGCGCCAGCACAGGUGCUGCAUGGCUGUCGU
rnacentral:rRNA from 1 species